UUUUCCCCUAAAAAAUAACUCACAUUAUUUUUAAGUGAAAAGACUAAGAGUUAUAAUUUAAGUAGAACCAUCCAAAUUAUUGAUUUAUAAACUGUCAGAUGCAUCCGAUCAAGUACUUUGAGAGAAAGGAAAAUAGCAAGAAACCAAAGCAGACCCCCGCCUCCUAACGAAGAGCUUCAAUAAACUUAAAUUGUCAUCCUAUUAACUAAUCUAUACACACGAGAACCUUCCAAAAUGCCAGCCUCUCAGCCAAGAUCAUGACGAUAUUCAGACCUUCACAAAAAGGAAGUAACUUCAUCAGUUGUGACCUAUGACACAUAUAUUUCAAAAUCAAAACCAAAAGGAGGUAACUUCAUGAGUUGUGACCUAUGAGCAAGUAUAUAUCUCAAUAGCAGCUGAAAAUAAGUCAAUCUCUGAAGGUUCUUGCCAUAUGUAUCCCGGCUAGACAUCUUUGCUUUGAGAGAAUCUUUUAGUGCUUUCAUGUUUAUGCAUCUCAAAUUCUUUCCAUUUGCAUCCCUUCUUCUACUAGUUAAUACAAAACACUGAACUAAAAUACAUUUGGAAAGGUCUAGAGAGAUCUCAUGAGAAAUUCAAUGAUAUUAGCAAAAAGUUAUCAGAGAUGCAUCAAGUACUGAUGCAUGUAAUAUCUAUAGUCCAGGGAUAUAAGAAGUAGCUGAUUCAAACCCAUGCAUGCUAGUUAGCUUGACAAAGUUAAUUUUUUGUUUUGGUACCAAACACCUAUCCUUGCCUAGCGAAGGCCAAUAGUUUGUUCACUUUGGAACCAAAUACACUAAAUAAUCACGCAUAAACUGGGUGAGUUAUGGAUGUGC
rnacentral:lncRNA from 1 species